rnacentral:lncRNA from 1 species
GCUUGAUGGGGAUGGCAUUGAAUCUAUGAAUUACCUUGGGCAGACUAUACAGCACCCUUCUUCAUCACAGGCCUUAAUCUGCAAUUGGCUGGCCAAGAGAUUGAGCUCUUCUAACUCACUUGCACAAUGAUAAUGUGCAAAUUUCAUUUUGUGCCAUUUGUCCUCUUCCAAAACACUUUUAUUUUGGCAGAGAAAUGAGCACAUUUAUGUAUUCAGCCUUACAUUUGUCUAUUUAUUGAUUCGUAUAUUUAUUGCACAUUUAUUAAAACUGACAUGUAAAGAUACAUCAUAUCGGUCAUCUUUGCUAUAUGAUUUAGGUCUCUGCUAAUUCUGUUUCAGCUGUUGGAUACAUUUCCAAAAUAGCCCUGAGAUAAAUGCAUACUUUAUUUCAUUAAAAUAUAUACUUAUUUGUUUUUUAAUGGGUGGUAUAUUCACAUGGCUCAAUAGUCCAAAGAUAGAAAAGUGUAUACAAUGAAACCUUUCAUUUGUAUCUCUGUCUUCAAGCUACUCAGUUCCCCUCCCUACUGAUCAGUCCUGCUAGCAGUUUCAUAUGUAUUCUUAUGGAGAUAUUUUAUCCAUACAAAAGCAAACUCAUAUAUAAUAUAAUUUUUCUGUUUUUUACCCAAAUGAUAGUGUACUAUACACACCAUUCUGUACCUUGUUUUUAUUCUGAGUUUAUCAAGGAGAUGAUUCCAUAUCAGUACAUAAAAGUUCUUACUCUUUUUGUAGUGGCAUAGUAUUCUGUCAUGUGCAUGCCUCAUAAUUGACUUAAUCCUUAUGGGUGUAUGUCUGGAUGUCUGCAUUAUUUCCAGUAUUUUGUCAUCAUAAAUGACGCUUCUCCAUAAGUUACUUUGCACAUAUGCAAGUCUAUCUGUAGAAUACAUUGUUAGAAGUGGAUCUUUUUGUCAUUUUAUACAUUUAUAAUAUUGCCACAUGUCUGAUUUUUUGGAUAGGGCACGGGAUUAUAAAGAUAUCAGUCCUCCAUAAAUGAAUGAAAGAUUCAACGUGAUCACAACCAAAAUACCGAUAGCAUCAAUUUCUGGAGCUUUAAGUUAGCUCAUGAUGCACCUCUGCUCAACAAUGGCUUUUCACCUUGCUCGGAGAAACAGUCCAAGUUUUUACAUUUGCCUGUGAGGCCCUCCUGGAUGUCACUCCCUGUUACUUCUCUGCCCUCACGUUCUUCUCACUCACUUUACUCCAGGUGGAAUGUAAGCACCCUGUGGACCGGGAUCUUCCCUUUUCUGUUCACUGCUGUAUCCUAAGUGCUUAGCCCUGCUGCCUGGUACUUCAUAGGUGCUCAGUCAACAUUUACAGAUUUAAAUAAACCUGUGAGAAUGGCUAGGGAGCUCUGGGGGAAAGUGAUUAAUGGGUAAAGAGUGGUUAUUAGCUUGACCAGCUAGUAAAAUAUGUUAUAAAGUAACAUAGUUUGGUUUCUGGACCAAGAAUAAAUUGAGUAGAAAAAAAUAGAACAAAGAGUUCAUAAAUAGACCCAAAUCCAUAUGAUAAUUUAAAAUAUAAUGCAAGUCACGUAUCAAAUCUAAACAGAUGGGUUAUCCAAUAAAUAGCUUUGGAAUACCUCUCUAGUUAUAUGGAGAAAAACAAAAUGAAGUCACUACAUCUCUCCUUAAAUAGAAGGACCAAUAAUAUACAUGUAAAAAAAUAGGC